GACGAACGCUGGCGGCGUGCUUAAUACAUGCAAGUCGAACGGGGUUCAUCACGGUGGUAACACCGUGGUGGGCCGAGUGGCGAACGGGUGAGUAACACGUGAGGAACCUGCCCUGAAGACGGGGAUAACGGUCGGAAACUUCCGCUAAUACCCGAUAUCCCCACCGGAUCGCAUGGUCUGGUGAGGAAAUGGAUUCCGCUUCAGGAGGGCCUCGCGGCCUAUCAGCUUGUUGGUGGGGUAACGGCCUACCAAGGCGUCGACGGGUAGCUGGUCUGAGAGGACGAUCAGCCACACUGGGACUGAGACACGGCCCAGACUCCUACGGGAGGCAGCAGUAAGGAAUAUUGCGCAAUGGGCGAAAGCCUGACGCAGCAACGCCGCGUGCGGGACGAAGGCCUUCGGGUUGUAAACCGCUUUCAGUAGGGAAGAAAAUGACGGUACCUACAGAAGAAGCCCCGGCCAACUACGUGCCAGCCGCCGCCGUAAUAC
rnacentral:rRNA from 1 species